rnacentral:misc_RNA from 1 species
GUGAAUCAUCGAAUCUUUGAACGCAAAUUGCACUCUCCGCUGAUAGUAUGCCUGUUUGAGUGUCAGCCCAUAUAAAAUCUACAUCGUUGCUGUUUCGCGGUGGCGUUUGUCGGAAAUUGGGUUAUCUUAAAUCUCUUGGUCUUAAGCGACUUAAAAUUUUCUUUUUGGUUCCAUGAACGUUUCUAAGAUUUAUUUCUUUACACGUUUAAGGUAUCGAUUUUUAUUAGACGUGACUAUCAUAUUGGAUCGCGC